rnacentral:lncRNA from 1 species
UCAGAGUUAUGGAUGACUAAACAAGUCCAAGACAAUCAUGUACUGUAUCUUAUUUCAAAAUUAAACAACUGGAAGAAGUAUGGAGAAGAGCUUCCCUAACUAUACAAGGUCUACAAAGAGUGCUUUGCUGCAAGAUGUUAAAAAUACAGUAUUAGCUCUUUAAAGGAAAGAUCAAGGAAUAUUUGAUUACAGCAUAUAAACUCCUUCUUGCAGAGACACUUGUGAUAUUGAAAUAAGAGAAACAAGUACUACAAGACCAGUGGCAAGAAAUUAAAUCCACACAUAUCUGUGUUAGAUACACAAACAGUCCUCUCGUCAUGGAAAUUAAAACAGCACAGAAAAAUGUGGACCAAAGUUUUUACACCUAGCUUGCAUACCUCAUGUAAUACAGCUUUCAAGUAGAAGCUGGCUGCAGUGUAAAGGUUUUGGAUUCGUCCUUCCAUUUGGAAAUCUCCAGAAGUGCCCAGACCAACUGUCAACAUUAAAAGACAGGUUAAAAGAUGACUUGAAAUGUUCCAGGGCUAUUCUUUUUUGGAAAUGGGUUAUCUAA